AUACGGAGGUUGCAAGCGUUAUCCGGAUUCGUUGGGUUCAAAGGGUGCGCAGGCGGAUUAUUAAGUCAGUGGUGAAAUCCCGGGGCUCAACCUCGGAACUGCCAUUGAUACUGGUAAUCUAGAAUACGGUUGAAGUGGGCGGAAUGUAGCAUGUAGCGGUGAAAUGCAUAGAGAUGCUACAGAACACCGAUCGCGAAGGCAGCUCACUAAGCCGAUAUUGACGCUCAGGCACGAAAGCGUGGGGAGCGAACAGGAUUAGAAACCCCAGUAGUCC
rnacentral:rRNA from 1 species